rnacentral:tRNA from 1 species
GGGGCAUUAGCUCAGUUGGUAGAGCGCAUCGUUCGCAACGAUGAGGUCGUCAGUUCGAUCCUGAUAUGCUCCACCA